rnacentral:ncRNA from 1 species
UCCAUCGCGAGGCGGAACCUGAAGGAAGCCGGCGGCAAAGUCCCGACUUGAGGUACACGAAUCUAAUUUGAGGCUGUUGUACUCGGACGAGUUUGCCAAACAAAACGAAGUCCAAUACAGCCAAGGGGUAUAGCAAUAAAUUAAACAGGUACAUGGGACGAAAGUUAUUGCU